GCCGGAGUGGCGGAAUUGGUAGACGCGCUGGACUCAAAAUCCAGUGAGGCUCAAACUUCGUGCCGGUUCGAGUCCGGCCUUCGGUA
rnacentral:tRNA from 1 species